GACGAACGCUGGCGGCGUGCUUAACACAUGCAAGUCGAACGGUAAGGCCCUUCGGGGUACACGAGUGGCGAACGGGUGAGUAACACGUGGGUGAUCUGCCCUGCACUUCGGGAUAAGCCUGGGAAACUGGGUCUAAUACCGGAUAGGACCACUGCCUGCAUGGGUGGUGGUGGAAAGCUUUUGCGGUGUGGGUUGGGCCCGCGGCCUAUCAGCUUGUUGGUGGGGUGAUGGCCUACCAAGGCGACGAUGGGUAGCCGGCCUGGGAGGGUGACCGGCAACCCUGGGACUGAGGUACGGCCCAGACUCCUACGGGAGGCAGCAGUGGGGAAUAUUGCACAAUGGGCGCAAGCCUGAUGCAGCGACGCCGCGUGAGGGAUGACGGCCUUCGGGUUGUAAACCUCCUUCAGCACCGACGAAGCGCAAGUGACGGUAGGUGCAGAAGAAGGACCGGCCAACUACGUGCCAGCCGCCGCCGUAACAC
rnacentral:rRNA from 1 species